AUUGAACGCUGGCGGCAUGCCUUACACAUGCAAGUCGAACGGCAGCACGGGAGCAAUCCUGGUGGCGAGUGGCGAACGGGUGAGUAAAGCAUCGGAACGUGCCCAGUCGUGGGGGAUAACGUAGCGAAAGCUACGCUAUACCGCAUACGAUCUGUGGAUGAAAGCGGGGGACCGUAAGGCCUCGCGCGAUUGGAGCGGCCGAUGUCAGAUUAGGUAGUUGGUGAGGUAAAGGCUCACCAAGCCGACGAUCUGUAGCUGGUCUGAGAGGACGACCAGCCACACUGGGACUGAGACACGGCCCAGACUCCUACGGGAGGCAGCAGUGGGGAAUUUUGGACAAUGGGCGCAAGCCUGAUCCAGCAAUGCCGCGUGCAGGAUGAAGGCCUUCGGGUUGUAAACUGCUUUUGUACGGAACGAAAAGCCCUGGGUUAAUACCCUGGGGUCAUGACGGUACCGUAAGAAUAAGCACCGGCUAACUACGUGCCAGCCGCCGCUGUAAUAC
rnacentral:rRNA from 1 species